GAUGAAAACGUAGCGAAAUGCGAUAAGUAGUGUGAAUUGCAGAAUUCAGUGAAUCAUCGAAUCUUUGAACGCACAUUGCGCCCUUUGGUAUUCCAAAGGGCAUGCCUGUUCGAGCGUCAUUUGUACCCUCAAGCUUUGCUUGGUGUUGGGCGUCUUGUCUCUAGCUUUGCUGGAGACUCGCCUUAAAGUAAUUGGCAGCCGGCCUACUGGUUUCGGAGCGCAGCACAAGUCGCACUCUCUAUCAGCAAAGGUCUAGCAUCCAUUAAGCCUUUUUUUCAACUUUUGACCUCGGAUCAGGUAGGGAUACCCGCUGAACUUAAGCAUAUCAAUAAGCGGAGGA
rnacentral:misc_RNA from 1 species